rnacentral:lncRNA from 1 species
UUAACUUCUCUUUCGUGGGUAAGAUUGGAUGGCGAAGCCAGAAAAUGUGAAGCUUCCAGGAAGGAAGGGGGAGGCGAAGAUUUAGUGGAAAUAGUAGCACCCGAAUCUCAUCUAAUUAACUUUCCUUUUAAACAUGACAAUAAAAUAAAAUAAAAAAUAUAAUAUAUUAUAUUACAACAAAAUAAAAUUAUUAUAUUAUAUUAUAUUAUAUUACUUUUGGUAAACGUUAUCUAAAGCAUUUAAAACUUAUAUAAAUCAAAUUUUAUAAUUUUUCGAUAUUAUUUACAUUACGAUCAAAAGAUCACAAAAUUGGCAAUUUUUAAAGGCCGUUAUAGAAUAUUUGCUAGUUUAACGGUGUAAAAUAAUCGGAAUCAAUUGAAUUUUUGAUAGAAAAUUCUAUUCACUAGUUAGAUAAAGAUCAAUAUAUAACUUCGAUCUUAAAUUGAAAGAUCCGAUAAUUUAUUUUUAGGACGUCGUUCGAUUUUAACCGUUCAUUUUAUGUCUGCUUAAUUGGUUUUAUUAUGAUUUCGAAAAAAUACAAAGUUUAUUUUUUAAAAGUUUCAAAUACUCUAGAUUAUAUUUAACGGAGUAGAUCGUCGAUUCGAAAGUUCUAUCAUCAAAAACAAUUUAUGAAUAAGAGUAUAGUAACCCUACUCUCUCUCUCUCUCUAUAUAUAUAGAAUCAGGUUGGAAAUCUAUUAAUAGCACCAAUGACUUGGUGCUAUUAAGUUUUCCGCCUUUAGAUUAAAAGAUGUGCGAUUAGGAUGAUGUGGGCAACCUAGGGUUGAGUGGGUGUUUGGUUGAAUAGUAUAAUCUAACGGAUAAAAAUAAUCAAAGAGGUUAAUCUAACGGCAGAAAACUUGAUAGCACCAAGUGCUUGGUGCUAUCGAUAGUAUAGCAACCGUACUCUAUAUAUAUAGAGAGUCUGUCUACUAUACUUUCGAAAGUACCGAGACAUCCGUGCUUGUAAGUUGUUUUCGAUGAUAGGACAUCCGAUUCGACGAUCGGCUCCGUUAGGUAUAAUCUGCCAUAUUGGAACUAUCUAGAAACCAAAUUUUAUAAUUUUUUGACAUCAUUUACUAAGCGAUCAAAAGGUCCAUUAGAUAUGAUCUACACUAUUGGAACUAUCUAGAAACCAAAUUUUAUAAUUUUUUGACAUCAUUUACUAAGCGAUCAAAAGGUCCCAAAAAUGACUAUUUUAACGGCCGAUGCGGCACGUUUUUAAGUUCAACGGUGUAGAAGUAUCCAAAUUACAUGAAAAUUUAAUAGAAAAUUCUACUUAACAUCAAUAGCAAGAUCAAUACUUCCGAUUUGAAAUUUGAGUCCUUUAUCAUCAUUUUUUAUGAGAUUUUUAUUUUUAGCCAUUCAUNGAAUGAGAAAAAGUACUCGUUGCAAAGUUAUACUGUUAUGGCGCAACUGAGCAGUCUAAUGUUGUUCCGAUUUUGGUUCUUGUGAACGUUGACAUCGAUUCGUUCCAAAUUUACACUCUCGGGGCAUAACAGAACAAUAUAAUUAGGUUUUGCACUUUGUUCGAUUGAAUGAGAAAAAGUACUAGUUCCAAAGUUAUACUGUUAGGGCUCAACUAAGUAGUCUAACUGUAAGGUACCGGACUUCUAAAAUAAUGAAGUUAUGGUUUAUAUGAGGUUGGAAAGCCAAUUGAAUCGUCUCGGUGAAGUUCGGUGAAGUUCGGAAGUAAUCGGGCGUUUCGGUGCG